AACAGGAUUAGAUACCCUGGUAGUCCACGCCGUAAACGAUGUCGACUUGGAGGUUGUGCCCUUGAGGCGUGGCUUCCGGAGCUAACGCGUUAAGUCGACCGCCUGGGGAGUACGGCCGCAAGGUUAAAACUCAAAUGAAUUGACGGGGGCCCGCACAAGCGGUGGAGCAUGUGGUUUAAUUCGAUGCAACGCGAAGAACCUUACCUGGUCUUGACAUCCACGGAAGUUUUCAGAGAUGAGAAUGUGCCUUCGGGAACCGUGAGACAGGUGGCUGCAUGGCUGUCGUCAGCUCGUGUUGUGAAAUGUUGGGUUAAGUCCCGCAACGAGCGCAACCCUUAUCCUUUGUUGCCAGCGGUCCGGCCGGGAACUCAAAGGAGACUGCCAGUCGAUAAACUGGAGGAAGGUGGGGAUGACGUCAAGUCAUCAUGGCCCUUACGACCAGGGCUACACACAGACGCGUACAAUGGCGCAUACAAAGAGAAGCGACCUCGCGAGAGCAAGCGGACCUCAUCAAGAAAGUGCGUCGUAGUCCGGGAUUGGAGUCUGCAACUCGACUCCAUGAAGUCGGAAUGCGCGUAGUAAUCGUGGAUCAGAAUGCCACGGUGAAUACGUUCCCGGGCCUUGUACACACCGCCCGCAGUCACACCAUGGGAGUGGGUUGCAAAAGAAGUAGGUAGCUUAACCUUCGGGAGGGCGCUUACCACUGUUGUGA
rnacentral:rRNA from 1 species